rnacentral:lncRNA from 1 species
AUGUCACAUUCAGCUACUUGGCAGUACACUGUGGAAAAUCACUGGCCUUGUGCUGUUGAGCCAAAUGUAGACCUAUUUGUAUUUUUAAGGGAAUUAGUAUUCUUUUCUCUGUUUAAAACAUUCCUAUUACUCAUAGUGAGUCAAAUCCUGGCCCCAUUUGGAGGGCUGUGCAUAAAUAGGCUGUAUGCACAAAGCAGCUUCAUGGGGAGCACUUUCCAAACCCUUCAUCCACCUGCCUUUUCCCAAGGGAACGAGCAUUCGCCUCCUGCCCUGGCAUUGCCCACAGCUGGCAUUGCUACCCAUGCUGUCCCAGCCUGUCUCCAAGUCCUGUUUAACUCCACUGAGUUCCUCACCUCCUGUCUGGCAGAUGCUCAUGCUGCUGCUCGGGAAGUGCUGCAUGUGUGGAGGAAAAGCACAACCAUGUCCCUUGUGACACAGGAGCAGAAUCACAAGGGGUCAGAUUGGAAAAUCCCUCCGAGAUCGUCGGGUCCGACCUGUUCCCGAUGCCCGCCUUGUCACUCAGACCAGGGCACCGACUGCCACGUCCAGCAGCUCCUGGAACACCUCCUGGGAUGGGGACUCCACCAUCUCCCUGGGGUGCCCCUGCCGAUGUCUGAAAGACUUUGGAGUGGUGUCUCUCGAGGAGACCGGUGCGUGGGCCUCCACAGCUGCAGGUGGUGGUUUGGCAGCCUUGGGGCUCGCUGCCAUCACUGGCACACUGCUGGUGGCUGUCCUGGCACAGCCCCCCGUGCCCGGCCACGGAGGAAGCGCUGCUGGCCCUGGCUGCUGUGGGCUGCUGGAGCCUGCAGGGCUCCGUGUCCAGCCAGCAGAGCUGUGCCCAGGAACACAGACACGGCCUGGCCCGGGGCACGUGCAGGGCAGGGCUUGGGGACCGUGAGGGCAGCCCCAGCUGAUCCCGAGGGAACGGGACAGCUGAGGGAAUGGGGUCACCGGUCUGAGCCCUGGGGUGGUGGGACUUGUCCUCCCCAGUGCCCCCAGUGCCCCCUGGCAUGCCACCAGCGCCCUGGGCAAUCGCAGAGCGGUGCUGCGGUGCACACCUGUGGGACUGGGCAGAACCUAUGGGGAGCAUCAGGUCAACAACAGUAUUUGGGAAUUUCUCAUGUGCUUGGGCUGGUCAAAAUUUGUUCAGACCUAUUUAAAAUGUAG